rnacentral:misc_RNA from 1 species
ACACCUCAACUCUCAUGGUUUGCCAUGAUGAGCUUGGACUUUGGAGGUCUUGCUGGCCGACGGUCGGCUCCUCUCAAAUGAAUCAGCUUGCCAGUGUUUGGUGGCGUCACGGGUGUGAUAACUAUCUACGCUUGUGGUUUUCACCAGGUAACCUUCAGCGAUGGAGGUUCGCUGGAGCUCACAAAUGUCUCUCCUCGGUGAGGACAGCUUUUGAAC